rnacentral:SRP_RNA from 1 species
GGUGGGUCUUAGGCGGGGGGCUAGGGGUCCCCUGAACCGUAAACCCUCUACAGGACGGGCUGACAGCGGAGGGUGAGGCGUUCAAGGCUGCCGAGACCUUCACUUCCGAGACGAAGACUACCCGUCUCUUGGGGCUGGCGGUCGUUAGGCUACUUCCGUAGGGAAGCUGUCUCUGAUGUUUACCAGGCGAACUCGGCCAGGCCCGGGAGGGAGCAACCUAAGUCUGGACGUUCAGCGCUCAGGGGGGUGCGGGUACGAGUUUAGGACUUGAAGGUGCGGCGGAUUCUGGACGUCGAACCUCUGUGACCCACU